GAGCCAGCGCGCAGGCGGGCUCAACCCCGGGCCGGGCGGGCCCCGCCUCCAGAGAACCUGGAGCCCGCCCCUCGCCCAGGCUCCGCCUUCCCCCACGUGUCUGCGGCCGAGGGGAGGCGCCUGAGCCGGAGCGGGCUCUCCACCGGUCCGGCCCGGUCCUCACACAGGUCUCCGUCAGCGGCUGCCGGAUGCUUCCGCCCCGGCUUUGGCGGGCCGGGCUGGACGCUUAGUGCCCGGCUCGUGCCCUGCCAGAAGCGCCCGCGGGGGUGGCAGCGGCCUCCGCCCCGCGGAGACCGAGCUGCUGGAGGACGAGGCGGCGGCCGCGGGGAGGAGGAUGGGGGCUAACCAGUUAGUGGUGCUCAACGUGUACGACAUGAUGCCUUUGAUGAUAAUUGUGUUUGUUUAUAAGCCUGGUAUAUCAUCUAUUCCAAAAUCAACCACUGGAUUUUCCUGUUGCAAUCAUCGAUCAAUUGCCAUAAGACGUUUAUUUGUGUAGCAUUGGCUGACCUGGACGUUGCUUUGGCGGCUCACACCUGGAGUUCCAGUACUUGAGAGGCUCUGGCUCACCCAUGAAUUCGAAGCCAACCCUCACUACAUUCUGAGUUCUGAGCUAGACUGGGCUACAGAGUUGAGAGCCUAUUUCAAAACAAUAUAAACAAUGUAAAAUAACGUUUAAACUGAGGCACAAUUUAGAAACCUCUUCUAGAACAAUGUUUCUCAAAUUUAUCCAGAAUCAACUAAGAAAUACAUUUUAUAUAAUAACCACUGUGCCCACAUGUAAUUAAGACCAUAGAUAGAUAGAUAGAUAGAUAGAUAGAUAGAUAGAUAGAUAGAUAGAUAGAUAGAUAGGACCUUAUCACAUGUCUUCAAUGAGUACUACUGUGUGGUGUUCAUUUAAAAUGCUGGUGUAACCCACUGAAACCAAUUCAGGAAUUCACUGGUGACUAGGAAUCUUCAGUUUAAGAUAUAGUCUCAAAAUCAGAGAAAAAAAAAACUAUAAAAGUUUUUCAGAAGCUUAAAAUACUACAAGAAGUUGCUAGCUAAUCCUUUAUAGGAAUAUAGUACUUUUAAAUUCAAGGCUUUUAAGUAUUGACUGCUAUAUAAGUAUAAUGAAAUGAUUUUAUGUAAUGACUGUAAAAUAAUGCUUUGAUCACCAAGAACAGCUUAUAAGAGACAGUACUGUGUAGUUUCCGUUAUUCGUGGUUUAUUUGAGAAUUUAAAACUUAGUAAAUGAUAUACUUUCUAUUUCCUGAGCACUCUUUUUUGGGGGGAGAAACAAGUCAAGCAUUCCACUCAACAUGUUACAUAAACACUUGCUGUACAUUUGGAGGAAAACAGCCAUGCUUUCCACUUACUCACUUGUUUGACACUGUUGUGUGCAGAAGUUGGUGGCUGUAUUAAGUAUUCAGGUUCCAGACCAGGGAAAUAGCACUUAUCAUUGUUGAUCUCAAACUGGAAGCAUAAGGGUUUAUUAAAUUGAUAAGACAAGUUAUUAACUAAAGUGAAGUUUAAUGAAAGGUCUCUGAGAAGGUGGCCAGUAACUCAAUUUAUUUGAGUAUACAAUAGUUUAAAAUAAUAAAUAGUGUUUAGGCCAGUUUUUAUUUUGAAGCAAAAUUGAGCCCUAAGUAUAUAUAUUGUCUUCCUACAUAACUUUCCCAUUGUUUCCUUUCCAUUUGUUAAUACUAUGGGAUGCUUUUUUAAAAGUUUUCUAGAUGUGAAUAAAUAAAUAAGAUAAAUGUCAGAGGAGGUAAAAUGUACAUCAGUGGCCCUAGCCUGUGUGUUUACCAUUUCCUUGGACAUUAGGAAGUAAAGAUCUUGUGCCAAAAUGAGGUUUGGGUCUCUAGGCUUCUCAUGGCCCUCACAAAUACAAACAUCCUAUAAAAUACAGCCCUCCUUCAAGAGGCCAUGCACUCACCCCUGUGCUUCUCCAGAAUAUAAAUAAAUCUUGUAGGAGUCUGAAAGUAGAGUUACGUUAACGCUAGCAUUGUUUUCUCUUCAAUUUAGUGAGUCAUCACCCUGGCAAUUUGACUUCAGCUCUGAAAGAAUCAUGAAAAUUGUUAAGAAUUCACAGAUUGGCAGAUAACCAGAACUGAUCUACUUGUUUACAUAUGCACUUUCUUGUCUGCUGAAAAAUCAUAGUCCAUUUUCUUUAGUAGAUAAAUGUUUAGUAUAGAAAAAAUUAUUAUCCUUUUUUUUAUCUUAAUCAUCCUCCUCCCCCUUGUUUGUGCUGGCUUUGUAGCCUCAACAGCCUUAAACUCUCCUGUGUAUUGGUAGUACAGGUUUGAGGCAAGUUCUCUAUUUCUAAUGUUUUCUAGGGCUCAUGCACUCUUCUGAACACACAUGGUGUUGAUUCAUUUAACCCUCACAGCAGUCUAAGAUAGAUUCUGUUUAUUACCUCAUCAUAUACACAUGGACAUCAAGGAUCAGAGAACUUAGAUACCCCCAAUUUGAAUCAGUGAAUAAUUAAGCCAAUAUUUACACCAAAGCUCCAGAAUUUUGAAUUAGCACCACAUUAGCUUUCUUUCCUUUUCUCUUUCUUUCUUUUUUAGACAGAUUGAAUACCUUAAAAGUUACCAGAUCCAUUCACAAAUGAAGGCCAAACAGCUGAAUCCUCACAGAAUCCAGAGUCUUCUCUGCUAUUUCUGUUAGUGGUAAUAUUUGGAUACGUUUUCUAACUUGAUCAAUUCAAAUACGGUAGAAGAAAGUUCCCUAUGUUCCAAACUAGAAGAUCGUCUAGGGAAACUGUAAGUUUCAAAUUAAAAUGUUUGCCAUCCUCCCCCCGCCCCAGUAUAAUUCCUGGGCGAUCAUGUUGUGAAGACAGCACUGCAUAAACUUGAAUCUGGAGCCUCCUUAGUUGAUCUGCCCUGAGUCCUGGUUCGUCCCUCCCUUGUAUACAGCACACCUCUCUGCUGGGUUUUGUCUGCAGGACUGACCCUGGUGUCACAUGUAACUCAUCAUCCCACUUUUGGCAGUUGUCUCAGAGCAGGUGUUCUUAGUCCACUCAACUCUGGUGGGCUCACACCCUGGGAAUAGACGUGGCCUUCCCUGGUUCAAGUAAAAAGCCAACUUCUAAGACUUUGUUUGAAUAAAAUAUCCUGGAUAAUCCAUUUUUUCCUUGUGUACGUUAUGUUUAAACUUUUGGCAUCUGUUACUAUUUAGACAACAAAAUCAAUAAAGACACAUUCAACACAAAUUAACAGAAAUCUUGCUAACAUUCAGUCAUAAUCUAGUUCAGCAGCUUGUUUUGUUUUUCAUAGAUGCUUUUUCUUGGCUGUCAUUUCAUUUUGCAUAUUUAUAAUAUUUUCUGUUAGAAAAAAUGUUUCUAGUUUAUAAAAUGGAAUUAAACAGAUACAUUAUACUUGCUGUUCUACAAAAGCAGGAAUUUUGCAAGUUUAAGAAGCUCUGAACUUUGUAGGGAGAUUUUGCUUUAGAUGCUAUAUAAAAUAAGUUUUGGAGGUAGCAAAAUAAUUUUUUAAAAAUAAUGGUUAAAAAAAAAAAAAAAACACUGUGAAGCCAGGCAGUGGUGGUGCACAUCUUUAAUCCCCGCACUCAGCAGACAGAGCCAGGCCAAUCUCUUUAAGUUCCAGACUAACCAGGGCUACAUAUACAUACACAAGGAAACCUUAUUUUAAAAAGGGAAGGGGCGGGGGGGGGGGGGGGGAACAGCUUGCAAUGGAAGCCCAAAGACCUGACUUUAUAUCUCCAGCAAAAAGUCAGGCAUGCAUGUGUAGUUGGGGCUCAGAGACAGGCAGGUCCCUGCUGCUUUGUCAGCCUCGGCACAUUUGUGAAUUCCAGAUUCAGUUCAGUUCCUAUCUUAACACACAGCCUCUGAUCUCUUCAUAUACCAUGCACCCACACACAUGCCAUAAAAGAAAAAAACAAAAAGACGCUGCACACAGAGACACAUGCAUAUGUAAAAUAAUAGGAGUAAUAAAAGUAGCUGAGCAGUGGCGGCAUACACCUUUAUUCCCAUCCAUUGGGAGGCAGAGGCAGGUGGAGUUUGAGGCCAGUCUGGUCUAGAGUUAGUUCCAGGACAGCCAGAGCCACACAUAGACCCUGUCUAAAAUAAUAAUAAUAAUAGUAACUAAAAGAACUGGGCCUGGUGGUACAUACUUGUAAUGCUAACACUCCAGAGGCUCCCUGGGCUAUCUAGUGCAUCCGAGGAAUGUGAGGCUUGUCUGGAGUCCAUAACAAGACUGUGACUCCAUAAAAAAGAACCAAAAAUAGUGACAACAAGGAAUAAACACCACGUUAGGGAAGCAUUGAAAAUCACCACUGCUAAUUUUACUAAUCUUACCUGUGAAAGGGUGUUAGUUACUUCAGCAUGAAUAGUUAAUGAUGAUAAGUCACUGUAGGAGAAUUUCACAACUGAUCAUUCAGAAAAAGCUCAGUUCUCCUAGCUUGUUUACAGUUAUCUCAGGAAAUUUCAAAAACAGGGCCUUAUCCGUGCUGUCUGCACAGCAGAGGCAGGACUUGAUGAAGCAUGAUGACCUUGAAUUAAAUCCUGUCUUCCCAGACAGCCUCCCCUGUAAGUAAAGAGUGAGCUCUCCAGGCUUGUUCUCUAAUAAUAGAUCAAGGAAGCCUGAACAGGGGCAGAACAUUUGGAGGACAUCACGCUCUGACCAAACCUCCAAGGAAGGGCUUGCCCUUCUGUAAUGAAUAUAUUCAGGGAAAUGCUCACACAAAGAAAAAUCAUCUGUUUACUCUGACUCAUUUUGUGAUGAAAACUAAGUUUCUUCAGAAAUGUGCUGCUGUUGUGUAUGAAGAGGUGGUGACCAGACUACACACUGAGUUCUUUCCUGCUGCUGUUGAAGUAGAAAAGUGCUACUUUUUUAUAUCCUGUUUUCCUUGUAACUGAAAGCACACAAACCUAGAAGGCAGCUUACAGUUAGAUAUGCACACUGUGAUUUAAGAAAUAAUCUGUUUGAAGUUUGGUUAGGAAUAGAAAGUUCAGGAACUAACUGUAUUUCCUUUAGUGUAACAUGAAUUCUAUCUAAUUGGUAUUAAUUUUAUCCCAGAGUCAGACACAGGGUUUAAUGCUGAAAGAUCAGAGAAGCAGAGCAACCAGUUACUAUAGAGUUCUUACCUCUACCAAUGCUCAGACCAAGGGGCAAUUCUGUCUCUAUUUAGCCUCAGGCUGCAUCUAAACCCUGUCUCCUCCUGUCUUAUAUUCUUCUCUCCUCCCAACCAUAUCACUCCUGUCUCCACCUCCCUAGUGCUGGGAUUAAAGACGAGGAAUGCCAAGUGCUAGGAUCACCUUUGUGUGAGUUGUUUUUCUUUAGACAGAUUCACUCUUGUGUGGCCCAGGGUGGCCUUGAACUGACAAAAGAUCUGUCUACCUUUGUCUCCUGAGCUGUGGUUAAAGGGUGUGCCACACUACCUGGCAUCUGUGGCUAACUAGUGUCUUAGCUCCGUACUCUGAUCUUAAGACAAGCUUUAUAUGUUAGAUCACAAACAAAAUAUCACUACACUUUAGUGUUGCCAGAAAAAAUUUUAGGGUAUCUAAAUGUAUUUUGCAUUUUUUGUUUGUUUUCAUUGAGAGUCAUAUCCAUAAUCUAUAUAAAGAAAAGCAUCAAUUAAGGUAGGACAUAAAUCAAUUACCUAUUUGUUAUCAGUUAAUUUUUUGUACAUAUUUCAUAGAAUGUAGUUAUACAAACCUACAUGGUAUCGUCCAGUCACCUCACGAUGGCCUGGUGCUGUGGUUGAAUCCCAGUGCACAGUGCAUGUGACCUAUGAAUACAGUAAAAGGUGAGUUAAACAUGAGGUGCUAAAAAAAAAAAAAAAAAAACUCCUGCCCUCAUAACACAGCAUCUGGCUUUACAGGGAGCUUUUCCUCCCUUUUCUUUAAUAAGUAUGAGAAGUACAUUGUAAAAUAACAGCAAAAACCAGCAACAUUUAUUAUUAUCAAGUCCUUUGUACUAUAAUUAUAUGUAUUAUACUUAUAUAAAAUGUUAUAUCUUACAUAUACUUCUAAGUUUGUUUAUACAUACCAGCAUCACCACAAACAUAAAUAAUGUGCUGCACCAUUACCUUAAUUAUGUGUCAUUAAGCAAUAGGAACUUUUCAGCUGUUAUAAUCUAUGGGAUCAGCAUAUAUGAGAACUGUCACUGACUAAGAUUGUGGCAUGUGAGUUCUACAUGAUGAGAUGUUCCUCUCAAAGUUUUACUGUAUAUCAUCUCAGAAUAAGGAACAGAAACUUACUUCCUCGUUAAUUUCUUUGUUCUCAGUUUGCUAACAAGGAAGAAAUUGGCAUUGCCAAUUAAAAGAAUAAAACCUGUUUUAUACUUGGAAAAAUUGCUGAGGGAUUCAUGGCAUAUAUAAAAUAGUUUUUGUUUAUUCAAAACAGAUAACUAUAAUUUAUAUCUAUGAAACAAUAUACACGCCGGGCAGUGGUGGUGCACGCCUUGAGUCCCAGCACUCAGGAGGCAAAGGCAGGCUGAUCUCUGAGUUCGAAGGCCACCCUGGUCUACAGAGCGAACAAGUGCCAGGACAGACUCCAAAGCUAUACAGAGGAACCCUGUCUCAUAAAACCAAAAACCAAACAAAACAAACCAUACUCAGCCAAGUAUAGUAUUAAAAUACAUCUGUAACCUCCUUACUCAGUACUCUUAAGUGAGGAAGAUUCUAAGUUCCAAUUAGGCUGGGUAACGUAGUAAGACCCUUGUCUCAAAAUGUGCUUGCAAAUGCAUUCUUGUGCCAUUUGGUAGAAAUUAGUGGAUCCUUUACUAUAUUGAGAACAUUACAAAAUUUCAAUUAUUAUAAGCAGAAAACACAUACUCCUCACACUGCCAAUCCUAUACUCAUAAGCAGUGUGUGACCUGCUUUCUGUCUGUAUAGAUUUGCCUGUUAUAGGCUGUUCAUAUGAGUCGUGGAAUGUGUUAUGUGGUUACUGGCAAGCAGUGUUUAAGCAACAAUAUUAGUUAUUGUGCCUUACACAGUAUUAAAAACCUUCAAAGAAAAAGAUGUUAGGAAUGAGAAUUGUACUUGUUAUUUAAUUCUGUCCAAAGGAAUAUUUUUGCUUUAAAAAAAAAUCUAUUCCUAGCAACUUGUGACUUUCUAGAACCUUGAGCAAAAGCAAUUGGAUUGUCUAUUUUCCAUUUGAAAGAAGCUACCACUUGCACAGAAAGCUACUGGUAUUGGUUUAUCACUGUGCUGCCUCAGCAGUUCUCCAGGUGCUUUAUAUAGGCCACAUUCAUUAUUGUGAAUUCCAAAGUUCUGAUCAGAUUUUGAAGUGAUACAUGAUUAUUCUUUUUAAGAUUCUCUCAUUUUAUGGAAAAAUGUGUCAAAGCAUAGCCAUUUACUUUUAGUAUAUAAAGACUUGAAUUUUAGACCAAAGUAAUGAAUCCACAAGUACAUAUUAGUUCUAAGUUUUGAAUCCUUAAGUAUGGAAGGAAUUAUUUUCGUUUGUGAAAAGAGAGAGUUCAGGGACCUCAUUCUACCAAGUGCCUUCUGGCCUUACUCUCUUGUCAGCAGUCAUCAUUUAAGAAUAAUCUUUUUCAUAAAAUUGUUUCUCUUUUUAAUAAAACGCUUAGAUUCCCCAUUCUAGAAAUGUGUUUCAAAGCACUUUUGGAAGACUAUUUACUGUCUACCUAAAAGAAAAGUUAUAAUUAAUAGUGAACAUUAGAUAGAAUAUUCCAUUUAGUACUUGCUUAAAAUCUUUUUGAGUGAUACAAACAUAUCAGCAGGCAACAGAAAGAGAAAGACACUGGGCCUGACUUGGUCUUUUAAACCUCAAAACCCUCCCCAGUGACACUUCCUCCAACAAAGCCACACCAACUCCAACAAGGUCACACCUCCUAAUCUUUUUCAGGUAGUACCACUCCUUGAUUAACUAACCAUUCAAUUACGCGAUCAGUUGAGGGCCAUUCUUAUUUAAAGCACCACAACUCCGUGGUUCACCAUUAAAGAGUUUCUGAUAGUCAAGUCCAGAAGCAAUGGUGCUUGCCUUUAAUCCUAGCCCUCUGGAAGCAGAUCUCUGAGUUCAAGGCCAGCCUGAUCUUACUAAGUUCCAGAACAGCUAGCAUGGCAUAGUAAAACCCUGUCUCAAUUUUUAAAAAAAAGUUUCUGAUGUUCAGAUUUUCUUACAGUUGCGAAAUAGAAACCAUCUGUGGUCAAUUUCUGUAUCAUUUUUAUGUGGUUCCAUCAGACAGUGCCCCAAUAAAGCUGCUUCAUCAGUGAGUUUUUGAGUUCACAGUGGUCAAUGGUGCAAAAGCAAUGUACAAUUAGUAGAAACUAGACUUGAAAUUUUGAAUUUUCAACAAUUGUAGUAGGCCAAAACUCUAACCAUUCAAAUGAACCUGUGACUGUGGCUAAGCUCUUAUGUUCUGGAAGAUAGGAUUAUUCAGAAUAUUACUAAAUUAUCAGAAAUUGAGCAUUUGUAGUAUUCGACUGUAAAAUACCUAAUUUAGAUUCUAAAGUUUAGAACCUUUUUCAAAAAAUUUCCUCCUUUCCAAAACAGGGUUUCCCUGUGUAGCAAUAACAGCCCUGGCUGUCCUGGAAUAUUCUUUGUAGACUAGGCUAGCCUUGAACUCAGAGACCCACCUGCUUCUGCCUCUGAAGUGCUGGGACUGAAGGCAUGCACCACUAUGCCUGGCCCUUUUUCCAGUUGUUAAAGUAAUGCAUGUAACACCUAUAUAAAAAGUCCUGAUAUAAUUAAAAGUGAAAAGAGAUUCCUCUAAAUAUCAUUUCUACCCUAGCCUUGUCUGUGUUCAUCACUGAACUGCUAACAAUUGGAUAUAUUUCAAAUCUUAUUUAUUUUUGAGACGGGGUCUCACAAAGCCUCAGAUUUACUAUGAAACCAAAGAUGACCGUGAAUUUAUGGUUCUUGUGCCUCUGCUGGGACUUCAUCCAUGUGCCACCAUGCCCAGUGAUGCUUGGGAUUAAACACGGGGCUUGUGCACAUACCAGACUCUACCAACUGAGCUACAUCCUCAGUCCAUGGCCCUUUCUUUUGGUAGAGCUUGUUAGUCGAGCUACAAAUAUUUAUAACUUGCUUUUUUUUUUACAUUAUAUUAGUUUUUAAAUUUUAAUACAGAAUAUUGGGACAAAGCUCCCAGACAGCCAUGCAAAUGAACAGCAGCCAAUCUGUAACUAUAUAUAUUCUAUAAAGCAUUACCUCUUUCCUUUUUAGUAAUUGUUUAAUUCAUAAUACAGAUUUUUUUAAUAGUUUCUUUAACCAUUUGUCUUAGAUUUCUAUUGUUUGGAUAAAACAACCAUGAGGAAAGGGUUUUUUGACUCUUCCAUCACUGUCCAUCAUUGAGGGAUGUCAGAGCAGGAAUUCAAGGAAGGAACCUAGAGGCAGAAACUGAAGCAAAGACUACUGAGGAUGCUGCUUGCUGGCUUGCUUCCCAUAACUUUCUCUGCCUAUUUUCUUAUACAGCAAAGAACUACCAGCCCAGGUGGGACAUCAUCUGUAAUAAGCUGGACCCUCCACAUCAGUCAUUAGUCAAAAGUUGCCCUGCAUACUAGUUUUAUGGAAGCGUUUUCUCAGUUGAGAGUCCCUCUUCUCAGAUGACUCCAUAGCUUGUAUCAAGUUGACAAAAAAUUAAACACACCAUUCCUCUCCUGAUACUUGUUAUAUCAAGUUUUUUUGGGCAUUAUGGACAAUAAUAAGAUUUUAUAACAUUCUUUUGUGUGUGUGUGUGUGUAUAUAUAUAUAUAUAUAUGUAUUUCUAUAGAGUAGAUUUCUGUGAGUAGAAUAGUUAACUACCUAGAUUGAUUCAUAAAUGUGCAAUCUUCCUCAUCCUUUUCCUAACAAAGUUUUGACAGUCUUAGGCAAAAAAAGGGUAAAUUAUAAUGAGUAUUUUCCUGUUUACUAGUGAGAUUAUUCAUGUUGGUUGACUACAAAUUGUUUCUGUGGUUGCCUACACAUCUUUGGGGAUUCUUUUUUUUUCAAUGGAACUUUUGUUUUUUUUAGUAUACCUGGCUGUCCUGAGCUUUUGUUUGCUUGGACUGUAAGGAUAGAUAUAUUUGGGUAAAUGUUUUGUGGAUCUCUUGAGUUUGAGGCCAACCAGGGCUACACAUAGAAAAUCUAUCUUGAAAAAGAAGGGGGAUGGGGUGAGGGUAUUCUUUGCUUGUUGUUGUUGUUGUUGUUGUUGUUAGAUUAGCAUGUAAAAUAAUGAGUUUCAUCUGGUAUCUUCAUAUGUUCUUGCUUCUCGCUCAUUACCUUCCUUGCUGCCCUCACCUCUGUUUCCUACCCAUCCCUAGCUGGGUACAUUCUUUCCCUCCUUUUUGCUUUCUUUUUUUAAAAUAUUUAUUUAUUUAUUUAUUAUGUAUACAAUAUUCUGUCUGCAUGUAUGUCUGCAGGCCAGAAGAGGGCACCAGACCUCACUACAGAUGGUUGUGAGCCACCAUGUGGUUGCCGGGAAUUGAACUCAGGACCUUUGGAAGAAUAGGCAAUGCUCUUAACCGCUGAGCCAUCUCUCCAGCCCCCCUCCUUUUUGCUUUCUUGAGAGGGUUUUGUGUUACAAUCCUGGUUUUAUAUUCACCACCGUCUGCCUCAACCUCCCAAAUGCUGGUAUUACUGGCAGUCACUACUAAACUUAGUUUAGUAAUUUAUCCACUGUUAAUAAUUGGUUUGAAAUACUACCUUUGUCAAACAGCAACUAUUUGCAUAUAUAAACAUGUGUUUCAGGAUAUUCUUGCUAUAUCCUGUAUUGUCGUGAUUAAUUUUUCAGUGUUAGGAACCCAGCACAGGAUCUGGUACAUGAUCUGGGGUUCUACAAUUCUGCUACUUCCUCAGCUAUAGUGAAUAUUUGCAGCAUAGACAAAUGUAACACCUUUACACAGUUAAAGUCAUAUUCUGCAGCAUAAACAAUGUAACACAUCUUUACAUAGUUAAAAAAAUAUUCCACAAUACUACAUGCCCCACAGACAUAAAAUAGUUAAAAAUUAAAGACAAAUUAUCAGUCAUCUAACCCAGGAGAAGUCCAAUGGGUUUAUAACACUUGGAAUUACUGCCUACGUAUUUGUUUGAUGCAUUAGUAACUCAUUUACCUCUUUCUAAGUGUAAGCUUCUCUAGCCUACCCUUUUAAACCCUUUCACACAGUCAUUCCCUGUAGUUUCAUACCAUAAUUCUGAUAUACAUCUCCUUCCCCCUUCCAUGGUCUUAGACUUUUCAUUUUCUCUUCCCUGCCCAGUCCAAACUUGGUACCUGAGAAGAUCUUAUUUGUGCCUAUAGACCCAUUUCAUAUACUAACUACCUUCUCUAGGAAGUUUGUCUUCAUGGCGCCUGUAGGAGGGUUGUUCUUACCCUCAGUGUUCCUAUGUGCUUCAUACUACUUAUUCCUAGUUUCAAACUUCAGGCUGAAUUGGGGUAGUAAACAAGCCAUAAAUGUUAACAAGGAAUAAAGUAUGCCUACUUGCAGAGAACUCACUAGAGUAUGAAAGAAAAAGUUUAGAAGAAAAAUAGAUAGGAACUAAAUAUGCUUGUCUAUAUGUGGUGCUUUAUGUUUGGGUUUUUUUGUUGUUGUUUUGGUUUUUUUUGGGGGGGGGACACAACAGUUUCUUACUGUAUAGCUUUCGCAAGCAUGGAACUCACUCUAAUGAUCAUACUGGCUUUGAACUCAUAGAGACCCAUCUGCCUCUGCCUCCCAAGUGCUGGGGAUAAAGGCAUGUGCCACCAUGACCUGUCAGAGGUCAUAAGAGUUAUAACAGGUGACAACUAGUGUUUAGAUAUCAACCCACCAGAGGAAUGGUUAUCUGAUAGAGGUUAAUCCUGUCCAGAUGAGUCUGCAGGACCAUUGACUGAAACUGUUGCUAAGGCACUUGAUGUCACCCCAAUGUCUGCACUGUAAUGUAUAAUCUCAUGUGAUGUGUAUAUUUAAUCUCAUGAUUGCAUCUCAGUCCAAUGGGUACAUAUGUCUGUGGAAAAAGACUUCAUUUAGCUAUACAGCCUUGAUAUAUAGAAUAUAUACUGGGACAUGCUUCAUAAUUGGAUCUAUUUGUCCUACAAGGACUAUGAAAACUUAAAAAAAAAAAAACUGCCUUGUUCUUUUGCUUAUUGGGUGAUUUUCCCCCAAUAUGUGGGACCCCAAUGAGAAAAUUUGGUCACACAGUCAAAAACCUUGGUUCCCACAGUCAAAUCUCUGCUUCAUUCCCUGAGAUAAAAUUUAUACGCCAGCCAGGCAAUGGUGGUGCACGCCUUUAAUCCCAGCACUCGGGAGGCAGAGGCAGGCAGAUCUCUGUGAGUUUGAGGCCAGCCUGGACUACAAGAGCUAGUUCCAGGACAGGAUCCAAAGCUACAGAGAAACCCUUUCUUUAAAAAAAAAAAAUAGAUCGCAUUUGGGACCUUCAAAGAUAUGAGUAUAGCUUAGGUGUCCCAAAUUCUCCUACAGCUGACUUGGGAAAGUGCUAACCUCAGUUGACCCCCAGCUCUAACCCUACAAAAGUUAUUAAACUCCCUACAUUUACUCAACUUACCGAUACAGGAUUUUAGUAUAGAAAUGUAGUAUUGCAUACAGGAUUUUAGUAUAGAAAUAUAGUAUCACAUACAUGAUUUUAGUAUAGAAAUGUAGUAUCGCAUGUGAACUCCCCUUCUCCCUUCCUAUAAUUUAAAGUCUCCUAAAUCACCUUUUUUGCCUCUUAGUGCUGCCCAGGCAUCUCUCUAGCCAUGCCUCCUUGGAGCCAUAAAGAAGCUGUCACUUGGGACAGCUCUUAUCUGUUUUAUGACUUUGAGAAAUUCUGGUUCUGUCACUUGGUGAUUACCAGAGAAUUGCCUUUGUUUGUGUGUGUGUAUAAACUGGAAACUUUGCAGCGGGACAGAACAAUAAACUGACCUGAAGAAGUACAGAAUGGGAGAGUUUGUUCAUUCACCUUCAGAUAGCCAGAGGAAAAAGAGUCAUUUUCACUUCUUGUAGAUUCUAAUCUGAACCCUGAGAGGGCUUCGAGGUUGGCUCUCCAUUAGCCCUUGUUAAUGACCCGCUAUGUGUGUGCUAUUUUAAUCACUGAUGGCACUUUUUUUUUAAAUAUUUAUUUAGUUAUUAUUUAUACAAUAUUCUGUAUGCCUGCUGGCCAGAAGAGGGCACCAGACCCCAUUACAGAUGGUUGUGAGCCACCAUGUGGUUGCUGGGAAUUGAACUCAGGACCUUUGGUAGAGCAGGCAAUGCUCUUAACCUCUGAGCCAUCU